rnacentral:rRNA from 1 species
GAUGAACGCUGACAGAAUGCUUAACACAUGCAAGUCGAUGGGGAAGUGGUGCUUGCACCCUGGCAACCCUGGCGGACGGGUGAGUAACGCGUAAGGGACUUACCUGCAGGACUGGGAUAACAGGGGGAAACUCCUGACAAGACCGGAUAAUGUCAUGGAGCUGCAUGGCUUUAUGAUGAAAGGAGACGCCUGCGGAGAGCCUUGCGUCCUAUUAGCUAGUUGGUGAGGUAAUGGCUCACCAAGGCGAAGAUAGGUAGCCGGCCUGAGAGGGUGGACGGCCACAAGGGGACUGAGAUACGGCCCUUACUCCUACGGGAGGCAGCAGUGGGGAAUAUUGGACAAUGGGGGCAACCCUGAUCCAGCAAUUCUGUGUGAACGAAGAAGGUUUUCGGAUUGUAAAGUGCUUUCAGCAGGGAAGAAGUAAGUGACGGUACCUGCAGAAGAAGCGACGGCUAAAUACGUG